rnacentral:misc_RNA from 1 species
CUCGUUUUAUGAUCCGAACGCUCGACACAAUCUCAACCAAGAUCUCAACCUAUCUAGAGGGUAACAUAUUGAAGCUGCAAAAUAAUAUGUUAUCAUGUAUCACUUCCUCUUUCCUUUCACUUACCGCCAUGCUUAGCUUUACUGUGCGACUGAAGGGCACCAUCAGAACCAAAUGACCUAUCGCACGAUUUGCAAGAGAACUGG